UUAUUUUUUAUUUCUUUUGAUAAACCUGACAUUAUGAAGUGAAAACGAAUGCAAGCUUUUUCUUUUUUUUAAUUUUUUUUAUUAUUAUUAUUUUAUAAAAAAAUGAAAAUGAGCACAUUUUUUUUAAAAAAAGAUAUUUUUAUUUUUUAUUUUUUAUUUCUUUUGAUAAACCUGACAUUAUGAAGUGAAAACGAAUGCAAGAGAUGCAAACAAAACAAAAAAUAAAAAAAUACUUAAAAAUACCUCCAAACCUAAACCUAACAUUGUCCUCAAUGUUUAAAGAAAUCUAAGAGAAUUGGGUUGCCUCCCAACAAGCGCUAAGUUUAUUGUCUUCAACCAGACACAGUGAGAUAGUUUUUGCAUCUCCUUUUAUGAGGACAUCUAUUUUGUCUAUCAUAAAACACUCAACUUCCCUCGCGGGUUGGUCGGCCGCAUUGAACACAUUUAAUUUUACCUUCAUGUUCCCAAAUGAUAUGUUCAUUACCCCUGU
rnacentral:lncRNA from 1 species